GAGGCUCUUUGUCAGGACCCGUGGUGGAGAAAAACAUGCGAUUGGCUUGUCAGCAAUUUCAAGACCCUGCCAACUGAGACAAUCUUCCCUGAAAGGAGAAGAGGAGGGUACACUGGCCAGAGGAAUUCUCCAGUUGCAGACAGGCAUAUGGUGCGAUGCUAGACUGGAACCGAGGCCCCUGCGCUGAGUCUGAUUCUAGCCCCAUAGCCUUUGGGGGAUUUGGGUACAUUCUAAACUCUUUCGGAGACUUAGUUUCCCCUUGCGUUGAAACCAAGACUUGAAAUAACGAAUCUCCAACUUCCUUUCCAGCUUCAGGAUCCUAUGGUCUAAAGCGAGUUUUCUUAAAUGAGUUUUCUAGCUUGGCUAAAACAAUUCGGGCUUGGCAACAGUUACGUGAAGUCCACUAGGUUUUGAAGAGCUCAAUUUUGGUUAUGGGUAAUAAUGGGUUUAACCAAAAGUAGGAACGAUGAGAGAUGGGUGGCUGAAACCGUCAUUUACUCCUCUCCCCAGAAAAAGGAUUGGCUGUGCGUCAGACAAAAUUUAGUUUCUAAGCAGCACACCAGAAAAACCGGAUGCGUCUGGUAGCGUAGAAGGGGAAACUGCCUUGGGAUUCUUGUUCCCCUACCAUAAUCAGAUUCCCAUGGUCCCAGUGGGCAUAGCCUUAGAGUUGAGCUGGGAAUCAUAAAGCAGGGGUCGUCACCUGGCUUCAAGCCGAGGUACCUCCUACCAAGUAACCAGUAAGCGGCAUGAAUAGUUAUGGUGCUCGCAGGCAGAGGAGGGAAUAAUCAGGCCACGGUGAAGAUGCUGCAGAAGGUUAGAGGGCAUUCCGGAGAGGUGACGGGAAGACUGGACCUUCUUUGAAGACUGAGUCGGACCCAAGUAAACGAAGAAGCGUUGGUGGCUAGGGGGACAGAAGGAGAGAGGGGACAUACUGCAGCUGGAGAAAAAAGAACAAUCCAGGUUACCACAGGCAGCGGAGGUACAGAGGUCGUCUGGAUCAGGUCCAGGGUUUGUAGGUGCUAAAGACACGCGGAGUUGUGACGAGGGAACCAGAUGAAAAAUCUCAGGGCCACCCAGUUUUUCUUUCAUCGAGUGAAAUUUGGUCACUGACAAAGAAGUCUUUUGGAACCAGGUCCUACGCUGGGUGCUGGGAAUUCAAAGAUGAAUGAGAUAGAAAAUGUAAAGCCCAAUACGUUUGCUGAAGCAACCCCUUGUUGGCGAGACAGACUGAUGAACAGAAGAAUAUUACAUGGGACAAGGAGUGGUAUUACAAGAAUGUGUGUAGAUCCUGUGGGAUCACACAGCCUUGGGAAAACAAAUCUGUUUUUGGAAGGUGGUGAACAGAGUGAGACUUGAAGACUGAAGAAGAGAUCACAGGCGUAUCAGCUGGGGGAAGGUCCCCUGAGCAUUAGCACAGGGAGAAGAUGGCAUGUGGGAUCUUCCUGGAACUACAAGUACUUCAAUAAGCCUGGAGCAUAGAUGUGAGGGCUACGUGGCCAAAGAUGUGGUUGGAAAGGCUACCAGAAGGCUGAAAAAAGGUCCAGCGUACGGGGGCGAAGGAGUUUGGAUUUCAUUUAUGUGUUUAUUUUUAUUUUAUUCUUCAACGUCAAAGUCUAGCCAUGCUGACCCACUUCUUUCUUCUGUCAUUAUCCUUCAAUAAUUAAAUCGAAUGGUUCUAACGUC